rnacentral:tRNA from 1 species
GGACAUGUAGCUCAGCGGGAGAGCACUUCCUUCACACGGAAGGGGCGGUGGGUCCGACCCCCACCAUGUCCA